GGCAGUCUGGAUCAACUAGAAGCAUUCGAAAGGCCCAAAAAGGCUUCAAAUGUUCAGCCUACUAGAAUUGGCAAAAGGGAGACACAACACACCCAUCCCCUUAAACCCUAACCAAAACCUUUCUGAAUUACUACAUCCGGCUUCUGUCGUGUCUUAUCACUCUCCGUAAUUACCGUUCCGUCCAAAAAGCUUCAGUGGGAAAAUGGCUUGGCGUGGUGCAGGAUCCCUCUCUCGCUCCGUCAUGUCUGCCGCCAGAGCUCCGUCGCUCCGCACCCCUCCGCCUAUGCCUCGCGUCCGUCCCCCUACUUCCUCAGCUCCCCGCCUUCAGUCACGCCGUCUCUCCUUCGCCCCUUCCAGGAAUUUGGGAGAAUUGGGAUGUGUCCAGUCGUUCUUGCCUCUACAUAACUUGGUUCCCAUGGCUUGUCUUACUUCGCAUCUUACUGUUAGCGUGCGGGCUUGUUGUGAGCUGUCUCAUGGUACCUUCUGUCGUUCUUGUCAGGAUCGCUAGUAGUCUCUUUGGAGGAAUGGAAAAGAUGGGUGAUGCACGUGGACUUUCGAUCAGCUAAAGGAGAGAAUGAUUCCACCUUGUACUUGAAAGGCCAUGGAUUAGCACUGCUGAGUGUAUCAAGCGAAUUGAGGGAGUCCAAUAUUAGUUUGUCCUGUGGGGGUCAGAGGCUAGGUACUCUUACCAUAAAUUAUCCAAAAAAAAAAAGUUUAUGUUUUAUGCUACUGCCAGGAAAAACCUGUAAUUUUUAAUUUUCUUGUAUGAUCGACCUGUAGGUACUUUAGUUGCUCUUAUUGAUCAAUAACUUCAUUUUUGUGAUGCAUGGUAUUGGUAGCUUAACGAAACUGUUGUUUAGUAAUUUUCAAUAUAUGAUUUUGCACAUAA